AAAUACAGGCAGUUCCACAAAAGGAGGAAGGCAAAAAGAUUUCCCUUCCUGAGGGCUGUAGAAUCAGAAGAAAUGAAACUGGAAUUGCCAACAUUCUGAGUGGGAACAUGCCAAAGGAUGUAUUGGAAAAUUCUCAGAUACUGUACAGAAGAAAGGAAUAUGGUAUUUA